rnacentral:rRNA from 1 species
CAGCCGCCGCGGGAAUACAGAGGGUGCGAGCGUUAAUCGGAUUUACUGGGCGUAAAGCGUGCGUAGGCGGCUUCUUAAGUCGGAUGUGAAAUCCCUGAGCUUAACUUAGGAAUUGCAUUCGAUACUGGGAAGCUAGAGUAUGGGAGAGGAUGGUAGAAUUCCAGGUGUAGCGGUGAAAUGCGUAGAGAUCUGGAGGAAUACCGAUGGCGAAGGCAGCCAUCUGUCCUAAUACUGACGCUGAGGUACGAAAGCAUGGGGAGCAAACAGGAUUAGAUACCCCCGUAGUCCCUGUCUCUUAUAU